rnacentral:rRNA from 1 species
GACGAACGCUGGCGGCGUGCUUAACACAUGCAAGUCGAACGGAAAGGCCCUGCUUUUGUGGGGUGCCCGAGUGGCGAACGGGUGAGUAACACGUGAGUAACCUGCCCUUGACUUUGGGAUAACUUCAGGAAACUGGGGCUAAUACCGGAUAGGAGCUCCUGCUGCAUGGUGGGGGUUGGAAAGUUUCGGCGGUUGGGGAUGGACUCGCGGCUUAUCAGCUUGUUGGUGGGGUAGUGGCUUACCAAGGCUUUGACGGGUAGCCGGCCUGGGAGGGUGACCGGCCACAUUGGGACUGAGAUACGGCCCAGAAUACUACGGGAGGCAGCAGUGGGGAAUAUUGCACAAUGGGCGGAAGCCUGAUGCAGCAACGCCGCGUGCGGGAUGACGGCCUUCGGGUUGUAACCCGCUUUCGCCUGUGACGAAGCGUGAGUGACGGUAAUGGGUAAAGAAGCACCGGCUAACUACGUGCCAGCCGCCGCCGUAACAC